rnacentral:RNase_P_RNA from 1 species
GCAGAUGGCUGGAUGAUCGCCGCUUGGUGUAUGCUGAGGGGAGGAAAGUCCGGGCUUCACGGAAACACGGUGCCGGUUAACGGCCGGCGAGGGCGACCUCAGGGAAAGUGCCACAGAAAGCAAACCGCCUGUGCUUGCAUGGGUAAGGGUGAAAGGGUGCGGUAAGAGCGCACCGCGCCUCUGGUAACAAAGGCGGCAGGGUAAACCCCACCGGAAGCAAAACCAAUUUGAAUGAUAGCCCUUUUGGGGCAGGCUCUGUUUCCGAGCUAUCAUUGUGGUAGGUUGCUUGAGCUUGUUGGCAACAAUAAGCCUAGAGGAAUGAUCAUCACUGGCGCAUGUCAGGACAGAACCCGGCUUACACGCCAUCUGCUGCU